rnacentral:rRNA from 1 species
ACCAGGAUUAGAUACCCUAUUAUAAAAAUUUAAAAUAAUUUACUAAAAAAUUAAUAGUUAGGUUCUUUAAAUUUAAAAAAUUUGGCGGUAUUUUAGUCUUAUUAGAGGAACCUGUUUUUUAAUUGAUAAUCCACGAUUAAUUUUACUUAAUUUUAAAAUUCAUAUAUCGCUGUCAUGAAUAUAUUUAAAAAUUUAUUUUCUUUAGUUAAUUUAAUAAUUUAUGUUAAGUCAAGAUGUGGUUUAUAAUUAAGAAAAUAAUGGGUUACAAUAAAUUAAAUUUUUGGAUUUAAAAUGAAAAUAUAAAUAAAAUUGGAUUUAAUAGUAAUUUUAAUUAUUUAAUUAU